CUUGUGGCUCAAUGGUAGAGCACUUGCCUAGCAUGCAGGAGGCCCUGGGUUCGAUCCUCAGCACCACA
rnacentral:tRNA from 1 species